UUUGCAACAUUCCUUUUGAUCCAUUAUUUGUAUCAAUUGAUUAUUUUUCCCUGGUUUUUUCUGCAUUCCAAAGUUCCAGUUAAUCCAUUAUAUGUACCUAUUGUCAAUAUGCCCUCAUACUUGUUAAGCAUUACUACAGAAACAUUUCGUCACAGUUUCUUGGGGAUGCCUUUGUGUGAUGUUACGAAGAGUUGCAGCCCCUGGCCAUUGAAGUGAUUUUUUCACCUAUGCCGGACUUAUGUUGGAAGCUCACGCAUUGAGGGAGUGGUACAGUCAAUUCAUAUUCAAAUGACUGAAGGUAUCAAUCUACGAGAUGCAAGCAUCACUAAGCAUGGAAGGUGUCAUAAACUGCAUUGACGAGUCUCAUUGACGAAGACAAAGAACUGAAGACACUGCAAAUAUUUGUGCAUCAUUCGUUGGACACCCAGUAACAUGCACACACUACAACUAUGUGCCUCAUUUCUUCAGCGGGAAGGAUAGCUCUGUCAGAUUGACAAGGCUAUCGCACUAGUGGAUUCCAAAAACUCUUUGGGGCUCUUAGAAAAGAAGUAAUGUAUGCCGGUCCAUAUGCCACCAAUCUGCACCAAAGUUUCUUGUCUCACCUUGACCUCUUAUUGGGAAGUAUAUACUUACUCCAAGUCAUGUCCUGUAGUACUAACUGCAAGAAUGGUGGGUCUGAGACUUGGGUCCAUGACAUGUGAAAGGACUAUAUACUGUUAGAGAAAGGGUAGAUUGGAGCUGUUCCUUCACUGAAAUAAAGGCACUAGCAUUCUUGGAGUGCUGUGACUGCAAGAAUCCUGAAAAGCGAUGGUUCAAGAGAUCGCAAUGUACGGUAGUGGUGUGGCUAAAGAGGAAUCCAGUGGGAAUCCAGGAGGAAGUAUACUGGGAGAAAUGGCAGGCACGAGCUGCAUCUCAGAUCCUCCAUCAUUUGAAGAUGGAUCCUUGUAACAUGUGCUGAGUGUGCAGCAGCAGUGAUUUGGGUCUGAUUGGCACAAUGGCAGGCAGUUGCUGUUCUCUAGGGCACAAUGGCCACAAUUUGCAUGCACCCACUGAGGAAGCUAGUUGUUGGAUUUCCCUUUUUCUGGUGCCCCACAGCAGGUGGAUGUUUGGUUUUCUAGGGUUUCGUUAGAGCUGUAGAUGUGUGUUUAGGCAUCAUCUCUUCUUACAUAGCAUAGAGCAAUGUGUGUGGUCUGUAUAUUGAUGAGAUGACAAAUUGACAAUUUUAGAAAUCAGGUGAAAAUGAUCUGUUUGUGUUGCUACUUGCUACAUUGCUGCACAGAUCACACCACACCAGUGCUACCACCAUAAGAAUUGCUGCAGCAUUUGUCCUAGUCCUGCUGCACACCUGGACCUUUUUGUAGGUUCUCGUCUUACCUUUAUAGCUGUGAUCAACCUCUGUGGCCUGCUACAGAAAAUACUUUUAUUGACCCCUGUAACUUCCAUUCUGGUGUUUCCCGCCGCCCAUAUUGCCCGUGCUCCAAUUACAGAGCUGGGUAGUGGGUGUGCUACACAAAGUGAGGUAAGGUGUAAAAGAAAAAUUAGCAGAAGGCUAAGGCGGUGAGAGGUUGAGGACACCUUUUUUUAAUGGAAUUCUGGAUUUCCUGGAAGUAGUCUUAUCUGCAUCAUUGCAAUUAGAUUCUUCCCUGUUCUUGGCAAAUUUAUGUUCAUUUCCAGUAGAACUUGGAAUCAUUUUUAAGUGCAGUGCCAAUUCCGUGCAUGCUUAUUUGGUUGCUCGUAGUUGACUCUCAAAU